UACGUAGGGUGCGAGCGUUGUCCGGAAUUAUUGGGCGUAAAGAGCUCGUAGGCGGUGUGUCACGUCGUUCGUGAAAAUCUGCAGCUUAACUGUGGGCGUGCGGUCGAUACGGGCAUCACUGGAGUUCGGCAGGGGAGACUGGAAUUCCUGGUGUAGCGGUGAAAUGCGCAGAUAUCAGGAGGAACACCGGUGGCGAAGGCGGGUCUCUGGGCCGAUACUGACGCUGAGGAGCGAAAGCGUGGGGAGCAAACAGG
rnacentral:rRNA from 1 species